rnacentral:snoRNA from 1 species
ACUCUCCACAUUCCUUACCCCUCAGAUCUAAACGUUGGGCUGAGUGGCUCUAAAGGAGGACAAGUAAAAUGAAGGGGACUUGGAUUAUUUAGUCAUAGUCAAGUUCAUUAUAAGCAAAA